rnacentral:ncRNA from 1 species
GGGUGUUCAUGUUUUCGUAACAUGAAUGAAAAGGGAAAUGGGUGCAGCACCCAUGCGGUCCCGCCGCUGUGAUGGGGGACGAAACUCAGGAGACACCACUGGAGGCCUGAAGGUUUCUGGGAAGGUCUGAGGAGUAGGACGAUCCCAAAGCCAGAAAACCUGCCUGAGCA